rnacentral:rRNA from 1 species
AUUGAACGCUGGCGGAAUGCUUUACACAUGCAAGUCGAACGGCAGCACGGGGCAACCUGGUGGCGAGUGGCGAACGGGUGAGUAAUACAUCGGAACGUGCCCAAUCGUGGGGGAUAACGUAGCGAAAGUUACGCUAAUACCGCAUACGAUCUACGGAUGAAAGCGGGGGAUCGCAAGACCUCGCGCGAGUGGAGCGGCCGAUGUCAGAUUAGGUAGUUGGUGGGGUAAAGGCUCACCAAGCCAACGAUCUGUAGCUGGUCUGAGAGGACGACCAGCCACACUGGAACUGAGACACGGUCCAGACUCCUACGGGAGGCAGCAGUGGGGAAUUUUGGACAAUGGGCGCAAGCCUGAUCCAGCCAUUCCGCGUGCAGGAUGAAGGCCUUC